GAUGAAGAACGUAGCGAAAUGCGAUAAGUAGUGUGAAUUGCAGAAUUCAGUGAAUCAUCGAAUCUUUGAACGCACAUUGCGCCCCUUGGUAUUCCAUGGGGCAUGCCUGUUCGAGCGUCAUUUGUACCUUCAAGCUCUGCUUGGUGUUGGGUGUUUGUCUCGCCUCUGCGUGUAGACUCGCCUCAAAACAAUUGGCAGCCGGCGUAUUGAUUUCGGAGCGCAGUACAUCUCGCGCUUUGCACUCAUAACGACGACGUCCAAAAGUACAUUUUUACACUCUUGACCUCGGAUCAGGUAGGGAUACCCGCUGAACUUAAGCAUAUCAAAGCGGAGGA
rnacentral:misc_RNA from 1 species